GCAGAGCCAAAUUAGUUCAACCUCUUUUCAACCUUUUCAUAAACAUAAAAAUAGAAAAAUGGAAAGAUACAAUUCAAGUUUCUUUUCUACUCUCCUCCAUCAGGUAGCAGAAAUUAUUGAGAAACGGAUGGAAUAUGAAUGAGAAAUUGACGGUUGGCUUUAAGAAAGCUUAAUGGAUAUUAAUGAUGGAAUUAAUCCCAUUUACUGAUGAUUAAUUUCUUACUGGUAUAUGGCCGUUUCGAACUCAACUCUUUAUAUAAUAUUAUCCUUCUCCCAAAAAAGAAAAAUGGGAAAUAGUGGGGAAAAAAUAGUUUAAGCCUUCUUCUUUGUUCUUCC
rnacentral:lncRNA from 1 species